rnacentral:rRNA from 1 species
GACGAACGCUGGCGGCGUGCUUAACACAUGCAAGUCGAACGGUAAGGCCCCAGCUUGCUGGGGUACACGAGUGGCGAACGGGUGAGUAACACGUGGGUGGACUGCCCCUCACUUCGGGAUAAACCUGGGAAACUGGGUCUAAUACCGGAUAGGACCUCACCAGGAGGGUGUGGUAGAAAUUUUUUAGGUGUGGGAUGGGCCCGAGGCCUAUCAGCUUGUUGGUGGGGUAAUGGCCUACCAUGGCGGCGAGGGGUAGCCGGCCUGCGAGGGUGGACGGGCACAUUGGGACUGAGGCAGGGACCAGCAUCGUACGGGAGGCAACAGGGGGAAAUAUUGCAGAAUGGGGGGAAGCCUGAUGCAGCGACGCCCCGUGGGGGAUGACGGCCUUCGGGUUGUAAACUCCUUUCAACAUCGACGAAGGUUUUCUGACGGUAGAUGGAGAAGAAGCAACGGCUAACUACGUG